CAUGUCUAGUAUAAGCAUUAUACCGUGAAACUGCGAAUGGCUCAUUAAAUCAGUUAUCGUUUAUUUGAUAAUACCUUACUACUUGGAUAACCGUGGUAAUUCUAGAGCUCAUACAUGCUGAAAGUCCCGA
rnacentral:rRNA from 1 species